GACGAACGCUGGCGGCGUGCUUAACACAUGCAAGUCGAACGGAAAGGCCUCUUUCGGGGGGUACUCGAGUGGCGAACGGGUGAGUAACACGUGAGUAACCUGCCCUUGACUUUGGGAUAACUUCAGGAAACUGGGGCUAAUACCGGAUAGGAGCUCCUGCUGCAUGGUGGGGGUUGGAAAGUUUCGGCGGGUGGGGAUGGACUCGCGGCUUAUCAGCUUGUUGGUGGGGUAGUGGCUUACCAAGGCUUUGACGGGUAGCCGGCCUGAGAGGGUGACCGGCCACAUUGGGACUGAGAUACGGCCCAGACUCCUACGGGAGGCAGCAGUGGGGAAUAUUGCACAAUGGGUGGAAGCCUGAUGCAGCAACGCCGGGUGCGGGAUGACGGCCUUCGGGUUGUAAACCGCUUUCGCUCAUGACGAAGCUUUGUGUGACGGUAGUGGGUAAAGAAGCACCGGCUAACUACGUG
rnacentral:rRNA from 1 species